GAUCCUUUUCUAUUUUAUUAAAAAAAAGUCUUACUGUUAAAAAACAACAAAAUUAUAUAUUCAAAGAAACAUAAAACUUAACGCAUGUAACAAAAACUGUACUAAGGCCACUUUUUCGCCUCACAUUGAAAGUCGGGCAAACUGUAUUUCUAGAAAAUGUAACGGUAAAUGUUCCGUUAUAUAUAUUCGAAAUUUAAUUAUAAGCCUGAAGAUUUGUCAAUUGGAAAUCGUAAGCCAGUCAGUGAAGUUUAAUCAUACAUCACCAUUUACAAGGAAAAACGGAGCGUGAAAUAGCAAAUUUUGUGAAGAAAAGCAAAUCCACAGUCCACGAUAUUAUUACGAGAUAUAAUCGAAAUGGAUUGGUUUAAGAGAAAUAAAACAAAGGCCUUUUACUUCUGCACGCAAACUAGCUGCAAUGGUCGAGGAAUCUUCUGGUAGUAAGGUAACCCAGAAACUAUAAGAAGAGUAUUACGAAAAAAUGAGUUCCAUGGUCGAGUAGCAAGAAAAAAGCCCCUAAUUAGCAAAAAAAAUCAACAUGAUCGACUUGAAUUCGCUCGAAAAUUUAUGGAUAAAGAUUUCUCAUAUUGGAGAACGGUAUUAUUUACAGACGAGAGUAUAUUUAAUUUAUUCGGAUGUGAUGGAAGAGGUAAAGUGUGGCGUAAAAUAAAUCAAGAACUUGAUGCCAAAAAUUUAAGGAAAACAGUGAAGCACGGUGGUGGCUCAGUAAUGGUCUGGGGGUGUGUGGCAGCUUCAGGAGUUGGAAAUUUGCAUAUUAUAGAUGGCAUAAUGAACAAAUAUGUAUAUUUGGCGAUUUUGAAGAAUAAUUUGAAAGAAAGCGUGCAAAAACUUGGUAUUGAAAACAACUUUCAGUUUUAUCAGGACA